rnacentral:rRNA from 1 species
UACAGAGGUCUCGAGCGUUGUUCGGAUUCAUUGGGCGUAAAGGGUGCGUAGGUGGCGCCGUAAGUCAGGUGUGAAAUUUCGGAGCUUAACUCCGAAACUGCAUUUGAUACUGCGGUGCUUGAGGACUGGAGAGGAGACUGGAAUUCACGGUGUAGCAGUGAAAUGCGUAGAUAUCGUGAGGAAGACCAGUGGCGAAGGCGGGUCUCUGGACAGUUCCUGACACUGAGGCACGAAGGCCAGGGGAGCAAACGGG